rnacentral:rRNA from 1 species
CCUACGGGUGGCAGCAGUGAGGAAUAUUGGUCAAUGGCCGGAAGGCUGAACCAGCCAAGCCGCGUGAAGGACGAAGGUGCUAAGCAUUGUAAACUUCUUUUGUCAAGGGAUAAAAUCAGGCUCGAGAGCCUGACCGAGGGUACUUGAAGAAAAAGCAUCGGCUAACUCCGUGCCAGCAGCCGCGGUAAUACGGAGGAUGCGAGCGUUAUCCGGAUUUAUUGGGUUUAAAGGGUGCGUAGGUGGGCUGUUAAGUCAGUGGUAAAAGCCCGGGGCUCAACCCCGGCGUGCCAUUGAAACUGGCUGCCUUGAGAUGAUGUGAGGUAUGCGGAAUGCGCAGUGUAGCGGUGAAAUGCUUAGAUAUUGCGCAAAACUCCGAUUGCGAAGGCAGCAUACCAGCGGCGAUCUGACGUUGAGGCACGAAAGCGUGGGUAUCGAACAGGAUUAGAUACCCUAGUAGUC